rnacentral:snoRNA from 1 species
AUGUCAAGACUGGAGUAUUUUCAAAAAAAAUUCUUGAAUCUCUCCCAUGCCUCAAGAUAGCUCUCAAGAUCUUUUUGCUUGAAAGUGUAGACUUCAUUCCUAAUUU